rnacentral:hammerhead_ribozyme from 1 species
AUCCAGCUGACGAGUCCCAAUUAGGAGGAAACGGGCGUCCUGUUU